rnacentral:rRNA from 1 species
UAAGUGGGCUUGAUUGUGGGGAAAACUCCACAGUUAAGCGCAUUUGAGCCAGAGGCGUAUUGGGAUGGGUGACCACCUGGGAAGUCCUGGUUACCGGGUGCA